CCGGAAGCCGCCGCGCAGUGAGCCGUCGCCGCCGCCGCGGAGCUCGCUGCUGCUACGGCCGCUCCAUGCCGGAGGUCGACCCAUGGAGCCCCGCAGAAAACAACCCGAGCCUGUCAAACAUGGAGCACUGAGGUUUCAUUUCAAGUCAUAAAUGGUGCAUUGCUGCUGCUCUCGCUGGUCGACCUGAACACCACAUACUUGGGCCUGCGCACCGCGGAGCAGCACCUCCACCUGUCCUUCGUCAACGUCUCCGGCCCCGACGCCGUCCACCCUGUCGCCGAGGAGGCCUCCGUCUCUCAGGACCACCGCGGUGGGACCGCCGGCCCGGUGCACAUCGGGUUUUAUUUCAGCUUUUGAUGAAUUGUGCAAAAAAAAACAAGCUGUUAGAUUGAUAAAUUAUUGGCUCUCGGUGGAUUAAAUGUGAAUAAAAUUGUUGUGAAAUGUU